rnacentral:rRNA from 1 species
GACGAACGCUGGCGGCGUGCUUAACACAUGCAAGUCGAACGGAAAGGCCCUGCUCUUGUGGGGUGCUCGAGUGGCGAACGGGUGAGUAACACGUGAGUAACCUGCCCUUGACUUUGGGAUAACUUCAGGAAACUGGGGCUAAUAACGGAUAGGAGCUCCUGCUGCAUGGUGGGGGUUGGAAAGUUUCGGCGGUUGGGGAUGGACUCGCGGCUUAUCAGCUUGUUGGUGGGGUAGUGGCUUACCAAGGCUUUGACGGGUAGCCGGCCUGAGAGGGUGACCGGCCACAUUGGGACUGAGAUACGGCCCAAACUCCUACGGGAGGCAGCAGUGGGGAAUAUUGCACAAUGGGCGGAAGCCUGAUGCAGCAACGCCGCGUGCGGGAUGACUGCCUUCGGGUUGUAGACCGCUUUCGCCUGUGACGAAGCGUGAGUGACGGUAAUGUGUAAAGAAGCACCGGCUAACUACGUG